rnacentral:rRNA from 1 species
UUCCGGUUGAUCCUGCCGGACCCUACUGCUAUCGGGGUGGGACUAAGACAUGCGAGUCGAGCGUCUCUAGCUAUGUUGAGACGCGGCAGACGGCUCAGUAACACGUGGCUAACCUACCCUCAGGACGAGUACAAACCCGGGAAACUGGGGCUAAUACUCGAUAGGUGAGUAUGCCUGGAAUGGUUCUUCACCCAAAGGGCUUUGGAAGCAUGCUUUUCAAAGUCGCCUGGGGAUGGGGCCGCGUCCGAUCAGGUUGUUGGUGAGGUAAUGGCUCACCAAGCCUAUAACCGGUACGGGCCGUGAGAGCGGUAGCCCGGAGAUGGGCACUGAGACAAGGGCCCAGGCCCUACGGGGCGCAGCAGUCGCGAAAACUCCGCAAUGCACGAAAGUGUGACGGGGCUACCCCGAGUGCCGUCCGCUGAGGGUGGCUUUUCCUUGGUGUAACUAGCCGGGGGAAUAAGGAGAGGGCAAGACUGGUGUCAGCCGCCGCGGUAAUACCAGCUCUCCGAGUGGUAGGGAUGAUUAUUGGGCUUAAAGCGUCCGUAGCCGGCUUAGCAAGUCUCCUGUUAAAUUCAGCGACCUAAUCGUUGACCCGCGGGAGAUACUACUAGGCUAGGAGGCGGGAGAGGCCGACGGUACUUCCGGGGAAGGGGUAAAAUCCUUUGAUCUAUUGAUGACCACCUGUGGCGAAGGCGGUCUACCAGAACACGUCCGACGGUGAGGGAUGAAAGCUGGGGGAGCAAACCGGAUUAGAUACCCGGGUAGUCCCAGCUGUAAACUAUGCAAACUCGGUGAUGCAUUGGCUUGAUGCCAAUGCAGUGCCGCAGGGAAGCCGUUAAGUUUGCCGCCUGGGAAGUACGUACGCAAGUAUGAAACUUAAAGGAAUUGGCGGGGGAGCACCACAAGGGGUGAAGCCUGCGGUUCAAUUGGAGUCAACGCCAGAAAUCUUACCCGGAGAGACAGCAGAAUGAAGGUCAAGCUGAAGACUUUACCAGACAAGCUGAGAGGUGGUGCAUGGCCGUCGCCAGCUCGUGCCGUGAGAUGUCCUGUUAAGUCAGGUAACGAGCGAGAUCCCUGCCUCUAGUUGCCACCAUUAUUCUCAGGAAUAGUGGGGCGAAGCGGGACCGCCGCAGUUAAUGCGGAGGAAGGAAGGGGCCACGGCAGGUCAGUAUGCCCCGAAACUCUGGGGCCACACGCGGGCUGCAAUGGUAACGACAAUGGGUUUCGAAUCCGAAAGGAUGAGGUAAUCCUCAAACGUUACCACAGUUAUGACUGAGGGCUGCAACUCGCCCUCACGAAUAUGGAAUCCCUAGUAACUGCGUGUCAUUAUCGCGCGGUGAAUACGUCCCUGCUCCUUGCACACACCGCCCGUCGUUUCAUUGAAGUGAGCUUUUAGCGAGGUGACGUCUAAUUGGCGUUAUCGAACUUGAGGUUCGUGACAAGGGAAAAGUCGUAACAAGGUGACC